rnacentral:sRNA from 1 species
UUGAAUUUCAAGAAGAAAAUCCAGCACAUUCGCGAAAAAUCGUCAAUGAAAAUGACAUAAUAUCAACUACCUGCAAAUGAUUCAG